rnacentral:rRNA from 1 species
GACGAACGCUGGCGGCGUGCUUAACACAUGCAAGUCGAACGGAAAGGCCGUGCUUUGGUGGGGUGCUGGAGGGGCGAAGGGGUGAGUAACACGUGAGUAACGUGUCCCUGACUGUGGGGGAACUUCAGGAAGCUGGGGCUAAUACGGGAUAGGAUCUCCUGCUGCAUGGUGGGGGUGGGAUGGUUUCGGCGGUUGGGGAUGGAAUCGCCGCUCAUCGGCUUGUUGGUGGGGUAGUGGGUGAGCAAGGCUUGGAACCGUAGCAGAGCUGCGAGGGUGACAGGCCACAUUGGGCCUGAGAUACGGCCCGGACUCGUACGGGAGGCAGCGGUGCGGAAUAGUGUACAAGGGGAGGGAGCCUGGUGUAGUAACGCCGCGUGCGGGAUGACGUCCUUGGGGUUGUAAUCCACUUUCGCCUGUGACGAGGCGUGAGUGACGGUAAUGGGUAAAGAAGCACCGGCUAACUACGUG